CUACGGGGCGCUCCAGUGGGGAAUAUUGCACAAUGGGCGCAAGCCUGAUGCAGCCAUGCCGCGUGUAUGAAGAAGGCCUUCGGGUUGUAAAGUACUUUCAGCGGGGAGGAAGGGAGUAAAGUUAAUACCUUUGCUCAUUGAUGUUACCCGCAGAAGAAGCACCGGCUAACUCCGUGCCAGCAGCCGCGGUAAUACGGAGGGUGCAAGCGUUAAUCGGAAUUACUGGGCGUAAAGCGCACGCAGGCGGUGGUUAAGUCAGAUGUGAAAUCCCCGGGCUCAACCUGGGAACUGCAUCUGAUACUGGCAAGCUUGAGUCUCGUAGAGGGGGGUAGAAUUCCAGGUGUAGCGGUGAAAUGCGUAGAGAUCUGGAGGAAUACCGGUGGCGAAGGCGGCCCCCUGGACGAAGACUGACGCUCAGGUGCGAAAGCGUGGGGAGCAAACAGGAUUAGAUACCCCUGUAGUC
rnacentral:rRNA from 1 species